rnacentral:rRNA from 1 species
GACGAACGCUGGCGGCGUGCUUAACACAUGCAAGUCGAACGGAAAGGCCCUGCUUUUGUGGGGUGCUCGAGUGGCGAACGGGUGAGUAACACGUGAGUAACCUGCCCUUGACUUUGGGAUAACUUCAGGAAACUGGGGCUAAUACCGGAUAGGAGCUCCUGCUGCAUGGUGGGGGUUGGAAAGUUUCGGCGGUUGGGGAUGGACUCGCGGCUUAUCAGCUUGUUGGUGGGGUAGUGGCUUACCAAGGCUUUGACGGGUAGCCGACCUGAGAGGGUGACCGGCCACAUUGGGACUGAGAUACGGCCCAGACUCCUACGGGAGGCAGCAGUGGGGAAUAUUGCACAAUGGGCGGAAGCCUGAUGCAGCAACGCCGCGUGCGGGAUGACGGCCUUCGGGUUGUAAACCGCUUUCGCCUGUGACGAAGCGUGAGUGACGGUAAUGGAUAAAGAAGCACCGGCUAACUACGUG